rnacentral:rRNA from 1 species
AGGAGCUCAAAUUUGAAAUCUGGGGUCCCCCGGCCCCCGAGUUGUAAUUUGGAGAGGCAUCUUCGGGGGGGAGCGCCGGCCCAUGUUCCUUGGAACAGGACGUCGCAGAGGGUGAGAAUCCCGUGCCAGGCCGGCUGCCUCCUCCCUAGUGAAGGGCCUUCGACGAGUCGAGUUGUUUGGGAAUGCAGCUCCAAGUGGGUGGUAAAUUUCAUCUAAAGCUAAAUACCGGCGGGAGACCGAUAGCGCACAAGUAGAGUGAUCGAAAGAUGAAAAGCACUUUGAAAAUAGAGUCAAAAAGUACGUGAAAUUGUUGAAAGGGAAGCGCUUGAGACCAGACUCAGACCCGAGCAAACACCGCGCCCCUCGGGGCCGUGCAAUUGCCUGGGGCUGGGCCAGCAUCAGUUGGCGUGGCGGGACAAAGGCGCGGGGAAUGUGGCUCCCCUCGGGGAGUGUUAUCAGGCCCGCGCUCAAUGCCGCCGCCGCCGACUGAGGACCG